rnacentral:rRNA from 1 species
UACAGAGGUGGCAAGCGUUGUUCGGAAUUACUGGGCGUAAAGGGCGCGUAGGUGGCCUUCUUAGUCAGACGUGAAAUCCCCAGGCUUAACCUGGGAACUGCGUCUGAUACUGGAAGGCUUGAGUUCGGGAGAGGAAUGUGGAAUUCCAGGUGUAGCGGUGAAAUGCGUAGAUAUCUGGAGGAACACCGGUGGCGAAGGCGGCAUCCUGGACCGACACUGACGCUGAGGAGCGAAAGCCAGGGGAGCAAACGGG